CAACAAUCCCUUUUCUUGGAGAUUGAAGAUAAAUUGGCAGCUGCAAAUAAGUUCUUUAGACAAAAAAGAAAUGCAGCUGGUGUGUUGGGAUUCUCCAGUAGACAAAAGUGUACUAUGGCUUUGCGGAUGUUGGCUUAUGGAGGUCCAGCAAAUUUUCUAGAUGAAGGUCUGCGUAUGGGAGAAAGCACAGUCCUUCAAACUAUCAAGGAGUUUGCUAAAACAGUCCUUCAAACAUUUUUCUGCUUAGCUUGUUUCUUCCCUCCUCUGGAUGGCAGUAGUGAUUCCUCAGACGUCAAAUGAAAUUGGGAAGACCUAGCUGAUGUAUCCCCUUCAUCCAUGUUGUACUGCACACACACAACAGCAGUAGUAAUUUGUAACAUAUGCAACAUCAGGGUAGCAAGGUUAAUUUGCUAAUAUUCUUCCAAUCCUACCUCAACAGCAGUAGCAUUAUCUAUAUCUUCAAUUGAAACGGCAUAGCAGGAGGUCCCAUCGUUAUGGUCAAGGAAAUCUUGAAACUCCUCUCCAAACCAACCAUGUUCCAUUCUAAUCAUAGCAAAUAAACUAUGAAUCAAACAAGCCAACAUUAAUCCAGUCUAAACGACCAUGCCUUCCUAGAUCUAGCCAUACAAUAACUAUACAAUCAAACCUAGGGUAGUGGAUCGAUGAGGGGAAGAGGCAGCGACUGGCGGAGCAUACCUUGCAGUUCCUGCUUGGACCUUCAGCUGCAGGAUGGGAAUGGGAGGGUCGGAGGGGACUGCCGGCGCCGGUGCUGUGCAGCUCCUCUUGCUCGCCUGUCG
rnacentral:lncRNA from 1 species